GGGGAAGUCGGGGGAGUAUCUGUUGCGGGUGCUAUCAUGCAGUCGAACGAGUUCUGAUUAUUGAAAGGUGCUUGCAUCUUGAUUUAAUUUUGAACGAGUGGCGGACGGGUGAGUAACACGUGGGUAACCUGCCCUUAAGUGGGGGAUAACAUUUGGAAACAGAUGCUAAUACCGCAUAAAUCCAAGAACCGCAUGGUUCUUGGCUGAAAGAUGGCGUAAGCUAUCGCUUUUGGAUGGACCCGCGGCGUAUUAGCUAGUUGGUGAGGUAACGGCUCACCAAGGCAAUGAUACGUAGCCGAACUGAGAGGUUGAUCGGCCACAUUGGGACUGAGACACGGCCCAAACUCCUACGGGAGGCAGCAGUAGGGAAUCUUCCACAAUGGACGCAAGUCUGAUGGAGCAACGCCGCGUGAGUGAAGAAGGCUUUCGGGUCGUAAAACUCUGUUGUUGGAGAAGAAUGGUCGGCAGAGUAACUGUUGUCGGCGUGACGGUAUCCAACCAGAAAGCCACGGCUAACUACGUGCCAGCAGCCGCGGUAAUACGUAGGUGGCAAGCGUUAUCCGGAUUUAUUGGGCGUAAAGCGAGCGCAGGCGGUUUUUUAAGUCUGAUGUGAAAGCCCUCGGCUUAACCGAGGAAGUGCAUCGGAAACUGGGAAACUUGAGUGCAGAAGAGGACAGUGGAACUCCAUGUGUAGCGGUGAAAUGCGUAGAUAUAUGGAAGAACACCAGUGGCGAAGGCGGCUGUCUGGUCUGUAACUGACGCUGAGGCUCGAAAGCAUGGGUAGCGAACAGGAUUAGAUACCCUGGUAGUCCAUGCCGUAAACGAUGAAUGCUAGGUGUUGGAGGGUUUCCGCCCUUCAGUGCCGCAGCUAACGCAUUAAGCAUUCCGCCUGGGGAGUACGACCGCAAGGUUGAAACUCAAAGGAAUUGACGGGGGCCCGCACAAGCGGUGGAGCAUGUGGUUUAAUUCGAAGCAACGCGAAGAACCUUACCAGGUCUUGACAUCUUUUGAUCACCUGAGAGAUCAGGUUUCCCCUUCGGGGGCAAAAUGACAGGUGGUGCAUGGUUGUCGUCAGCUCGUGUCGUGAGAUGUUGGGUUAAGUCCCGCAACGAGCGCAACCCUUAUGACUAGUUGCCAGCAUUUAGUUGGGCACUCUAGUAAGACUGCCGGUGACAAACCGGAGGAAGGUGGGGAUGACGUCAAAUCAUCAUGCCCCUUAUGACCUGGGCUACACACGUGCUACAAUGGAUGGUACAACGAGUUGCGAGACCGCGAGGUCAAGCUAAUCUCUUAAAGCCAUUCUCAGUUCGGACUGUAGGCUGCAACUCGCCUACACGAAGUCGGAAUCGCUAGUAAUCGCGGAUCAGCACGCCGCGGUGAAUACGUUCCCGGGCCUUGUACACACCGCCCGUCACACCAUGAGAGUUUGUAACACCCGAAGCCGGUGGCGUAACCCUUUUAGGGAGCGAGCCGUCUAAGUGACAAGUGCCUCCUUCGAGUGGGCGCUCCC
rnacentral:rRNA from 2 species